rnacentral:snRNA from 1 species
GACAAGGGGAAUCCGACUG